GAUGAACGCUGGCGGCGUGCCUAAUACAUGCAAGUCGAGCGAACAGAUGAGGAGCUUGCUCCUCUGACGUUAGCGGCGGACGGGUGAGUAACACGUGGAUAACCUACCUAUAAGACUGGGAUAACUUCGGGAAACCGGAGCUAAUACCGGAUAAUAUAUUGAACCGCAUGGUUCAAUAGUGAAAGACGGUUUUGCUGUCACUUAUAGAUGGAUCCGCGCCGCAUUAGCUAGUUGGUAAGGUAACGGCUUACCAAGGCGACGAUGCGUAGCCGACCUGAGAGGGUGAUCGGCCACACUGGAACUGAGACACGGUCCAGACUCCUACGGGGGGCAGCAGUAGGGAAUCUUCCGCAAUGGGCGAAAGCCUGACGGAGCAACGCCGCGUGAGUGAUGAAGGUCUUCGGAUCGUAAAACUCUGUUAUUAGGGAAGAACAAAUGUGUAAGUAACUAUGCACGUCUUGACGGUACCUAAUCAGAAAGCCACGGCUAACUACGUG
rnacentral:rRNA from 1 species